rnacentral:rRNA from 1 species
GACGAACGCUGGCGGCGUGCUUAACACAUGCAAGUCGAACGGUAAGGCCCUUCGGGGUACACGAGUGGCGAACGGGUGAGUAACACGUGGGUGAUCUGCCCUGCACUUCGGGAUAAGCCUGGGCCACUGGGUCUAAUACCGGAUAGGACCACUGCCUGCAUGGGUGGUGGUGGAAAGCUUUUGCGGCGUGGGAUGGGCCCGCGGCCUAUCAGCUUGUUGGUGGGGUGAUGGCCUACCAAGGCGGCGACGGGUAGCCGGCCUGAGAGGGUGACCGACCACACGGGGACGGGGAUACGGACACGACUCCUACGGGAGGCAGCAGUGGGGAAGAGUGCACAAUGGGCGCAAGCCUGAUGCAGCGACGCCGCGUGAGGGAUGACGGCCUUCGGGGUGUAAACCUCUUUCAGCACCGACGAAGCGCAAGUGACGGUAGGUGCAGAAGAAGGACCGGCCAACUACGUGCCAGCAGCCGCCGUAA